rnacentral:rRNA from 1 species
AUUGAACGCUGGCGGCAGGCCUAACACAUGCAAGUCGAACGAGUGGCGGACGGGUGAGUAAUGUCUGGGAAACUGCCUGAUGGAGGGGGAUAACUACUGGAAACGGUAGCUAAUACCGCAUACCAUCAGAUGUGCCCAGAUGGGAUUAGCUUGUUGGUGGGGUAACGGCUCACCAAGGCGACGAUCCCUAGCUGGUCUGAGAGGAUGACCGGCAACACGGAAACUGAGACACGGUCCAGCGUCCUAGGGAGGUAGGAGGUGGGGAAUAUGGCACAAUGGGGGCAAGCUUGUUGCAGCCAUGCCGGGUGUAUGAGGAAGGCCUUCGGGUUGUAAAGUACUUUCGGCGGGAAGGCGUUACCGGCGGAAGAAGCACCGGCUAACUCCGUGCCAGCAGCCGGGGUAAUA